GAAGGAUUUACUAAUUUAAAGACUUACUAGAAAGUUUCAAUAAUCCAAAGUGUGGUACUGAUGUAAGGAUACACAAAUAGAUUAAUGGAACAGAACAGAAAAUGUAGAAAUACACACACACGUGAUCAAUUUUUAACCAAGCUACCAAGUCAAUCUAAUGGGUAAAGAAAAGUCUUUUUAAGUAAAUGUUGCUGGAACAACUGUAUAUCCAUGUUGGAAAAAAACCAAACCUCAUUCUGUUCACAAAAAUUAAUUUGAGAUGGAUCACAGACCUAAACAUAAAAUCCCAAACCAUAAAACUUCUAGAAGAAAAUAUAUUCUUUGUGACUUUGAGGUCAUAAAACCAUAAAAUAAAAAACUGAUAAAGUGGAUUUUAUAAAAAAAAUUUGUUCAUCGAAAGAUCCCAAUAAGUGAAUACAUAGAGUCUUUAAAAAAUCAUAGCAUAUCUAUCAAAGGAUUUAUAUUCAAAAUACAAAGAAUAACACCUACAAUAAAAAGACACCCAACUUUAAAAUGAGAAAAGACAUGAAAGACACUUCUUGAAAGAUAUACAAAUGAAAAAUAAGCAUAUGAAAAAGUGCUCAACUCAUUAAUCAGGGAAAUGUAAUGUAAAUUAAAAUCAGUUAUUUCAUAUAUGCUAAAAUGGCUAAUAUAAAAAACAGUGACAGUGUAAAUGUUGACAGACAUGUGAAGCAACUGUAACUCUCAUACAUCACUGAUAGGAGUACAAAAUGGUAAAACCACUUUGGAGAAUAAGAGGGCAGUUUCUUAUAAACAUGCACUUACCAUAUGACCCAGUAAUUUUCUACUCUUAUUUAUCCAAGACAAGUGAAGAUGUAUAUCCACAAAAAACAAAAACAAAAGGCUGUGUAAGAAUAUCGAUAGCAUCCUUAUUCAUAAUUGCCCCAAACUGGAAACAACCUAAAGGUCCUUCAAUAGGAGAAUGAAUAAACAAAUUGUGGUAUAUUUAUAGAAUGAAAUACUACUCAGCAAUAAAGAACAAUGUCCUAAUACAUACAGUAUGCGUGUCUUUAAAGCAUUAUCAGUGAAAGAAGCCAGAUGCAAAAGAGUACAUUAUUAUAUGAUUCCACUUAUAUGUAAUCCAAAAGCAGGUACAACAAAUCUUUAGUGAUAAAAAUCAUAAGACUGAGAUGGAAGAGCUAGG
rnacentral:lncRNA from 1 species